GAUGAACGCUGGCGGCGUGCUUAACACAUGCAAGUCGAACGGAAAGGCCGAAGCUUGCUUCGGUACUCGAGUGGCGAACGGGUGAGUAACACGUGGGUGAUCUGCCCUGUACUUCGGGAUAAGCUUGGGAAACUGGGUCUAAUACCGGAUAUGACGAUCUCUUGGAUGGGGUUGUGGAAAGCUUUUGCGGUAUGGGAUGAGCUCGCGGCCUAUCAGCUUGUUGGUGGGGUAAUGGCCUACCAAGGCGUCGACGGGUAGCCAGCCUGAGAGGGUGUACGGCCACAUUGGGACUGAGAUACGGCCCAGACUCCUACGGGGGGCAGCAGUGGGGAAUAUUGCACAAUGGGCGCAAGCCUGAUGCAGCGACGCCGCGUGGGGGAUGACGGCCUUCGGGUUGUAAACUCCUUUCGCAAUCGACGAAGCCUUUUGGUGACGGUAGGUUGAGAAGAAGCACCGGCUAACUACGUG
rnacentral:rRNA from 1 species